rnacentral:tRNA from 1 species
GGAAGGGUGGCCGAGCCGGUCGAUGGCAGUCGCCUGCUAAGCGAUUGUAGGGCCAAAAGCUCUACCGAGGGUUCGAAUCCCUCCCCUUCCGCCA